rnacentral:lncRNA from 1 species
GCGGCAGCCCGAUCACCCCCAAACCUCGUCAGCAUCCCCACCUGGCCCCAACCUGCCAGCCUUCACCAGGCUCUUAACAAGAGGCCAGUUCUCAGCCAGCCUCUCUCCUGUCCUUGAGCGGCAAGUGGGCAGCUGAGCAGAAUUGUAGCCUGAAAGGGAAUUUAGAGAAGACGGUAGACAUGAAAGACCAAGAAGACCCACACACACAAUAUUGUGUUUCUGAAGACAAGAACAGAACAAGUUUGUGAACUAGCUUUGGAGCCCGUAAAGUGGAGAUGAGCCCCAUGCAUGUCACUGAACUCAGAAUAUGGGGAGCCUGGGUUACAGAUCCACAGAAUAACCAAGACCAGCGUGGCAGGGGCCCCCAGGGGCCGAAACCUCCAGGGGAGAGAAGUCAGUAAAUGUUAUAGAAAGCACAGCCUGUGUCGGGAAUGGAGAUGAAAUAUUUCUUUGUUAGAUAUGCCAUCAAAAAGUCCCGAAGUUGAGGAAGAACACAGGUUUAUUUUCAAAUAAAUGCUCACUUGGA